AGACGCUUUCCAGGUAACACAUCCUGCUUCCGUUUUCGUCACGCCAAAUGUUUACCUUUUUGAGAGGAUGGCAUGCGGUUUCGCUUCUCCUUCGCGAACACUUGUCUGGCAGCCCCAAGGCGUACGCAUGAGGGUAGCGCUGCAUGCUGAGGAGAAGCAGGAAGCCCCCAGAUGGAGGCACUGUUGAAGUCAGCAAGGUGGGACCGCAGAAAUGGAAAACAAGUGGCGGAACAGGGGCUUGAACCCAGAACCUCAUGAUGCCAAGCCCAUGACAAUACCAUGACGCCACCACCAUGUUCGUGUUUUCUUGGGGAGCAUCAGUGGACAGAAGACAAGACUACAGAAACCUAAGCGGAACAAAGAGAAAUAAUGAGUUUCGAACCCGGCAACAUUGCACCUGCAAGCAUUGACAGUACCGUUCUGCCAACAUGUCCUUGCCUUUUUCUGUCCUCUGCAUUCCCCAGAAGAUGAUGAGACCACAGAAAUUCAAGAGAACUAAAGCUGAAGAACUGGGUUUGAACCCCCAACCUCUGGGUCCGGAGACGGAGACCAUACCACUGAGCCACAGCUGCUUUGACGGUGUUCUCGUCGAUGCAGUGGAUUGAAGAAGAAGAUGAGAAGAUGGUCAGACCACAGAAAUGCAAGAAAGGGGGAAGGUGGGGUUUGAACCAACAACCCUCGCAUCCAAAGACAAUGACGAUACCACUGUACCACGAGGGCUUCGGUGCGUCUGGCCGUGCUUCAGAGGAUAGAAGAAGAUGAGAUCACAGAAGUACAAGACAACCAAGGAAGAACCAGAGGAGCUGGACCCACAAGUUCUGCAUGCAACCACAGAAAGUUAUUUUAUGCCAUCAUUACUGUAGAGGGGUUUGAGGGGCAUGAGGGACAGGUGAUUGGGUGGGUUGGUGGGUCAGGAGGGGGAACGAACCUGCCACCUUCUAAUGCUUGUGACAUCGUUCCCUCUCCUGCACCGCAGAGCCCAACAGGGUCCACGCUUGCUGAAUAGCUUUGAGUUCCACAGCUCCACAGGAGGCGCUGUCCCCAGAGAGCACGGGAAAGCAAGCCAAGAGGAAGAAUGGACCCGCCGUGCUGAGAGGUCUCUCUGUGUCAGUAAAACGGACCACUGUUACAUUGCACUGUGCUGGUUGAUGUCAUGGGCGGGGUUUCUGUGCACGUGUCUUAUGAUUUGACAUGUUCCUGCACUGACAGGGCAUGAUGUUCUCCUCCAGCCAGUGUGCUGCUCGGACCAGCCCGUGGCGCUUCCCCAGGGAGACCCCGACCCUGGACCCAGUAUUGAUUCAGCAAUAAACCAGGAAGAUAGCGCUUGGAUGUGUGAUUAUCUUGAUGUUGUAGCUCGUCGUCAUGCCUCCCAGUUUGACUUAGCGUAACUUACUGACUUGGCCUCUGCUUACUGUGUGAAUUGGACUUAAUGCACUCAUGGCUAUGGAUACACUGUUGCACAAUGAGCAUUGUACCUUAGCGGACCUGUGUGUUAUUGCAGUUGUUCCAAUGACCUUCGGUGUGCACUUAUUGUGCGUCGCUUUGGAUAAAAGUGCCAAUAAAUGUGAUGUGAGGUGAUGUGGUGUAAUGGAUGUGUGGGAGAAUAAUAAACUAUCAAACACCCUCAUGCAGGUCCAAAUCUGGAAAGUGGACUGAAGUAAAA